rnacentral:rRNA from 1 species
AAGUCGAGCGGAAUGGCUUCGGUCAUUUAGCGGCAGACGGGUGAGUAACACGUAUCCAACCUUUCCCUUACCCGGGUAUAGCCUCUGGAAACGGAGAGUAAUCCCCGAUGUGGUGCACGAGAAGCAUUUUUUGCGCACGAAAGAUUCAUCGGUAAGGGGUGGGGAUGCGUUCCAUUAGGUAGUAGGCGGGGCAACGGCCCACCUAGCCGACGAUCAGUAGGGGUUCUGAGAGGAAGGUCCCCCACAUUGGAACUGAGACACGGUCCAAACUCCUACGGGAGGCAGCAGUGAGGAAUAUUGGUCAAUGGGCGAGAGCCUGAACCAGCCAAGUAGCGUGCAGGAUGACGGCCCUAUGGGUUGUAAACUGCUUUUAUCAGGGGAUAAAGUCACCCACGUGUGGGUGUUUGUAGGUACCUGAUGAAUAAGGACCGGCUAAUUCCGUGCCAGCAGCCGCGGUAAUACGGAAGGUCCGGGCGUUAUCCGGAUUUAUUGGGUUUAAAGGGAGCGCAGGCCGAUUGGUAAGCGUGACGUGAAAUGUAGCCGCUCAACGGCUGAACUGCGUCGCGAACUGCCGGUCUUGAGUAUGUUCGAUGUAGGCGGAAUUCGUGGUGUAGCGGUGAAAUGCUUAGAUAUCACGAAGAACCCCGAUUGCGAAGGCAGCCUACAAGGCCAUUACUGACGCUAAAGCUCGAAGGUGCGGGUAUCGAACAGGAUUAGAUACCCUGGUAGUCCGCACGGUAAACGAUGGAUGCCCGCUGUUGGCGAUAUAGUGUCAGCGGCCAAGCGAAAGCGUUAAGCAUCCCACCUGGGGAGUACGCCGGCAACGGUGAAACUCAAAGGAAUUGACGGGGGCCCGCACAAGCGGAGGAACAUGUGGUUUAAUUCGAUGAUACGCGAGGAACCUUACCCGGGCUUGAACUGCAGGUGAACGAUACAGAGAUGUUGAGGCCCUUCGGGGCACCUGUGGAGUGCUGCAUGGUUGUCGUCAGCUCGUGCCGUGAGGUGUCGGCUUAAGUGCAUACGAGCGCAACCCUGUCCUUAGUGCCAUCAGUGAUGCUGGGCACUCUGGGGAUACUGCCACCGUAGGUUGUGAGAAGGUGGGGGAUGACGUCAAAUCAGCACGGUCCUUACGUCGGGGCUAACACACGUGUAAUGGGUGGUACAGAAGCCAGUCCAGCAUGGUGACUGAUCUAAAGGCCAUCCUCAAUCGAUUGGGCUCUCCAACCCCGAACCAGGGAGCUGGAAUUC